rnacentral:rRNA from 1 species
AUUGAACGCUGGCGGCAUGCUUUACACAUGCAAGUCGAACGGCAGCGCGGGCUUGGGCUUGGCGGCGUGAGGCGAACGGGUGUGUAAUACAUCGGAACGUGCCCAGUUGUGGGGGAUAGCUUGGCCAAGGCCGGAUUAAUACCGCAUACGACCUGAUGGUGAAAGCGGGGAAUUUUCCGACUUCUCGUUUUUUGAGCGGUCGAUGGCGGAUUGGCUAGUUGGUGGGGUAAUGGCCUACCAAGGCGACGAUCUGUAGCUGGUCUGAGAGGACGACCAGCCACACUGGGACUGAGACACGGCCCAGACUCCUACGGGAGGCAGCAGUGGGGAAUUUUGGACAAUGGGCGAAAGCCUGAUCCAGCAAUGCCGCGUGUGUGAUGAAGGCCUUCGGGUUGUAAAGCACUUUUGGCGGGAACGAAAAGGACUGUGCCAAUACCACGGUUCGAUGACGGUACCCGCAGAAUAAGCACCGGCUAACUACGUG